rnacentral:lncRNA from 1 species
GUACGGAAUACGGGUCCGAUUCUUCUAAUUGCAAUCGGACUCGGCAAGAAAUCUUAAGAAAAAUUGAAGAUUUACCUUAUUGGCGGGAGAUGGAAGAUGUGUGUAAAGAAAUAGCUGGUUAGCGCCAACGAUCUUUGGUCCAAAAUAAAUCUGCUGGCCAUCUUCCGGUGGAACCCUAAAAUCGUGAAGGAGAAGAAGUGUGGAAGACGGGGACACAGGAAUGAAAGAAGAGAUUUGGGUUUAAUUGGAGCUGGGCCAUUUUUAUUGGGGCUACUAAUAUGGAGGUGGGUUGGGUUAAUAAUAUGGAUGUUGAUGGAUUUAAUUGGAGUUUGGGCCAUUUUUAUUGGGCUAAUAAUAUUGAUAUUGGAUAUGGAUGGAUUUGAUUGGAGUUUGGGCAAUGGAUGUGAAUGGGUUAAUAAUGUAAUUAUUUUUACACCAUAUAUAUUCUAGUUUAAUAAAAUAUUCAAACAAUAAAAUUAAUCAUUUUUAAAAAAAAAAAUUCAAUUCAUCAUUUUUAAUUCAAAAAAUACGACAAUAUAAAAAAAAAAAAAAUCUAAAAAACAAAAUUGAAGUUUGAAAAACGUACUCACAUACCCAUGUCCUAAAUUUGGACUCUUUUUAGUCAUGUCCUCGUAUCCCACAUUUUAGAAAAUAAAAGAUCCGAUGCUUUGAUAUGUACCUGAUACCUGUACCCGAGUCCGAGCAUCUAAGGUUAUAAGUCUAGGAAACCUUUAGACCUUAUUUCAAUUUCCCCACAUGCUAGUAUGUCUAUAUCAGCUGAGG